CCGUGUGCGGCGCGGCGCGCAGGGAGUGGCAGCAGCUCAGCACCCGGCCGGAGCGGCGCGCUGGUGGUCCCGGCUCGGAACCGGGCGUUUGCAGGACCUGUAGGGACGAUGGAGAGGAGCCUGUAGUUCCUCGGCUGAAGCGUUUGAAGAGGAGUUAGUGGGUUCCGGAAUGACCCGUUCAGUCGAUUUGCCAGCACCACGGUCUUCUCAUCUUCUCACGUUGUGUUGGG
ensembl:lncRNA